AUUUUAUUCUUUAUGAAAAAGGGAAAUCAAUUCGUAAAAUUUCUGACACAAGCAUUCAAUUAGUUCGAACUUGUUUAGUAUUGAAUUGGGAUCGUGAUAAAAAAAGUUCUUCGAU